AUACGUAGGGGGCUAGCGUUAUCCGGAAUUACUGGGCGUAAAGGGUGCGUAGGUGGUUUCUUAAGUCAGAAGUGAAAGGCUACGGCUCAACCGUAGUAAGCUUUUGAAACUAAGAGACUUGAGUGCAGGAGAGGAGAGUAGAAUUCCUAGUGUAGCGGUGAAAUGCGUAGAUAUUAGGAGGAAUACCAGUUGCGAAGGCGGCUCUCUGGACUGUAACUGACACUGAGGCACGAAAGCGUGGGGGGCAAACAGGAUUAGAUACCCUGGUAGUCCACGCCGUAAACGAUGAGUACUAGCUGUCGGGGGUUACCCCCCUCGGUGGCGCAGCUAACGCAUUAAGUACUCCGCCUGGGAAGUACGCUCGCAAGAGUGAAACUCAAAUGAAUUGACGGGG
rnacentral:rRNA from 1 species